rnacentral:misc_RNA from 1 species
UUUCCGUAGGUGAACCUGCGGAAGGAUCAUUACUGAGUGGGGGCCCUCUGGGUCCAACCUCCCACCCGUGUUUAUUAUACCUUGUUGCUUCGGUGAGCCCGCCUCACGGCCGCCGGGGGGCAUCUGCCCCCGGGCCCGCGCCCACCGAAGACACCUAGAACUCUGUAUGAAGAUUGCAGUCUGAGCAAAAACUAAAUAAGUUAAAACUUUCAACAACGGAUCUCUUGGUUCCG